UCCUUUCACAUGCUUAUUGUGAGCUUUUAAAUUUGUAUACACGAUAUACAUAGUAACAUACGCUAAUCUACAGAUUAGCAUUGACUUGGAGCUUACUAGAUAAUAUACAUUGAACAAUGACCUUUUGAAUCUUAUAACUAUUAUCAAUAAAUAAAUAGUGGUAGUAUGAAAUCCAUCAUCCAAAAAAAAAGUUGUUUCUUCUACUCAUCAACAUGUGCAAGAGGGAG
rnacentral:lncRNA from 1 species